rnacentral:rRNA from 1 species
GACGAACGCUGGCGGCGUGCUUAACACAUGCAAGUCGAACGGAAAGGCCCUGCUUUUGUGGGGUGCUCGAGUGGCGAACGGGUGAGUAACACGUGAGUAACCUGCCCUUGACUUUGGGAUAACUUCAGGAAACUGGGGCUAAUACCGGAUAGGAGCUCCUGCUGCAUGGUGGGGGUUGGAAAGUUUCGGCGGUUGGGGAUGGACUCGCGGCUUAUCAGCUUGUUGGUGGGGUAGUGGCUUACCAAGGCUUUGACGGGUAGCCGGCCUGAGAGGGUGAACGGCCACAUUGGGACUGAGAUACGGCCCAGACUCCUACGGGAGGCAGCAGUGGGGAAUAUUGCAGAAUGGGCGGAAGCCUGAUGCAGCAACGCCGCGUGCGGGAUGACGGCCUUCGGGUUGUAAACCGCUUUCGACUGUGACGAAGCGUGAGUGACGGUAAUGGGUAAAGAAGCACCGGCUAACUACGUG